UCCUCCCUGUAUUUUAGCCCUCUUUUUCUCCUUCCCAGUCGCAGACUCUCAGGUUACCUCGGCGCUGGAGAUCGGAUUUGCCCGCACCCCAAUGGAAAUGCUCCUCUUCUUCUCCCUCCUCCAAAACUUGGUCACUCAAUCUGGCACCCCACUCGAGUGUGCGGUCGCAGCCGUGGAGCGUCCCAUUGAGGUCACGGGUGCGGAAGUGGGCGACGCAGACGGGUUUGCGGAGAGAGGCAAAGGCAUUGGCAAUUAAAGGCGGAGGAAGCCAAGGUGGUAGAGUGGGUGACGGCGGCUGAGGCUUGGUUGCAGUUCCGCCGAGAAAUCUAGAAUAGCUUGUUGUUUUCCACUAUUCUUCCUGCCGGGAAUCGAAGCUGGAUUUUUGGUGCUCCGGAAUGCGUCAAAUACGAGGUAGAUUGAGGACCGUUUUGGUUGUUUCCUUCUAUUUCUUCUGGACUGCUGGAGAAGAGCGAGCGAGAAUAGCAUCCACUCUCUUCGCUCUCCUGCUGUGUGGAUUUCUUUAUCUAUUCGAUAUGGGUUGCAGGUUUUUCCUGCUGCAUUGCUCAGAAAGCGUAGUUCUUUGAUAAUAUCUUCUACUAAAAAUGAAGUUGCUAAGGAUGUACAUGUCAGUGGAUUGGGCCAAAAGGACAAUAAUUCUUCUUUCAGGGAAAGCUUAGUUCUUAUCAUUCCUAGAGAAGUUCUUCACGAGUCCUAAUUCUGCCAGAUGUAAACCUAUAUCGGGGGCACAUAAAGACUCAUCUAGCAAUCACAAAAUAGAGCAUAGAGCAACCCAACAGAAAUCUUAAAGUAACGACGAAAAUCCCCUUUCACCCGAUCAACAAGCUAAGAGAACAAAACGACACAGAGAUCGCUACUGAGGAAUAACAUACCUCGUCC